CGGAACGGGUGAGUAACGCGUGAGGAACCUGCCUCAAAGAGGGGGGACAACAGUUGGAAACGACUGCUAAUACCGCAUAAGCCCACGGCUCGGCAUCGAGCAGAGGGAAAAGGAGUGAUCCGCUUUGAGAUGGCCUCGCGUCCGAUUAGCUAGUUGGUGAGGUAACGGCCCACCAAGGCAACGAUCGGUAGCCGGACUGAGAGGUUGAACGGCCACAUUGGAACUGAGACACGGUCCAA
rnacentral:rRNA from 1 species